GGGCAGCCGAGCUGUCCAGGGUGCUGAACGCCACCGACGGACUGGGCUGACGUCUGCGUGUACUCUCCGUUUGAUGGCAGCCGCAGGUGUGAAUGGCAAAGAAACACAGGUAUCUCCGAAAGCUAACCCCCAAAUUUCCUGUUUAAUAUAGAGGAAAGUUAUCAGCCUGCUAAGGUAAAGCAUCAUGUAUCUAUCUAGUAAGAAAUCUUAAAAAAUGACAUGAGGGAAGAGAAUAGUAUUGCUGUAAAAUGGAUUUGGUGGCUUUUUUUUUAUUAAUCAGGCUUGCUAUUUUUGUCCAAUAUCAGCCUUUGAUCUUAUGAGGAUUCUUCAGGGACAUAAUGGAAAAACUGAGAGCCAGAUUUUAAUUCUCCCAUGACUGUGAUUCAGGAGUAAUUGUACUGAAGUCAAAUUAAACUAAUGUGAAACAGAUGUAAGCACAUUCAGAAAGAGACUAAAUACUGUGCAGGUUGAGACACUGUAGUGCUCCUGGCUGUACAAAGGGAUUGAUAUAACAGGUGUCUGAAAGCUGAAGUGUGGAUAAUGAGGAAUAGUUACUAGAAAAAAAUGAUGAUGAAGAUGAUUACAAGAUGUGAACUAGGUACCCCCUCUUCUGUUCCGGCAUUUAGAGGGUGGAUGCUCAAAGUGGGUCUGAGGAUAUGAACAAUGUGUUAAGAUAUGAGAGGCAGGAUCCAUAGCGUAUUGUGUUUAGUGUCCCUAUCUAAAGGAACCUGCAGACAGGCUGUGGUAACUCAAACAGGUCAGAUUUGAGAAGACACCAUCCUGGCAAAGGUUAUUACUGAGGUGCAAUUUUCUCAGGUAUAUUCACUGAUGUCACUGAAACCGUUUCUGCCAAUAAAUUCUGUUCUUUGGAUUAAUCCCUGAAUGAAUGAAGAUACAGCACUGCAUGCUAUGACUUAAAAAGUGGUAAGAAACUGCAUGCAGUAGAAGGCAAUAAAACCAGUAAGUUGCUUUUCCUUGCACAGUACAUAGUAGUCCUGAUGCUUAAUUAACUUCCUGAUUCCUAGAUUCAUUUCUAAAGCUUUUGAGAACCAUCUGAAAAAAAAGUCUUAAGGUUAUCCUAGAGAGAAGGCUUUGCAAGUCUUCCUAGACAGAAAGCUUCCUAGAAAAUAAAGAAGUUAUAAAAGGAUUCUGCACUGGAUCCUGUCCAAGUUCAUACUACUAGAAGAUGGGUCAAUAGAAUAUAAAGAACAGGAUGCACUUCACUUGGGUUAUUCUCUGGUUCCCUUGGUCUGAGUGUAAAUAACAGCACUCCUGUGGCAAUAAACUGAAUAAAGAAUGAUCUUCACAUGUAGAAAUACCAGAUUUCAAACAACCAUAUAGUUAACCAUGAAUAGUUGCAUACACAAAUGAGCAUGCUGCAAUGUGAUGACGCAAAGACUGUGUAGACUUCUCAUCCCUUCAGUGCAUCCCAGAAAUUGAACAUACAAGUUUAAGGUGAUUUCUGUCUACUAUCAAAGCAUUUUUCCAUUCCUGCUCACUGGAUUUAAGUAGCUAUAAGAACUAUUUAUUUGUCUGUUCUGCUAUGGAUUCGUUUGAGUUCCAUCAGAACAACUUCUAAAUCACUCAUGCCAUAUUACUAAUGAACAGUAAAAGUGCACUUAGCAUUUUAUUUCUUUUUUCAGUAAGCUCACUUAUAAUAGAAAGCCUUUUAUCUAUUGUGUUGUGACUGUUACAGGCCAAGUGCUGUAAGGCACCGAUUCUCCAAUAAAACCAACUAUAAGGACAGUAAGUCUGAACAAUGAGCCCUAAAUGAAAAAUUUAGUCAGACCAGUUUGAUAAACUAUUGGUAUAAAGUUGAGUCCUGAAAAUUCUCAUGCAGGUACUAUUUUAGAUUGAUCAUGCUAUAGUUAUUGUCUUUUUUUUUCUUGGUGGUCUUUCAUUUAAAUAUUGAACAUUACUGAAUCUACUUAGCUUGUAAAAGUUGACAGAGUAACAGCUUGAAACACUGUAGCUUCAAGGCAGCACCAGCUCUCCCUAUCACAAGAAUUCACCACCACUGAGGGGUAAAAGGCCUUUUAUUUGCAUAAGAUAAUAGUUACGUUUCUAUGCAACAGCUGUGCUUCAGUGAAAGAUGCACUCAUUAUGCCAAAUCCAUCUCUGGAGUAACCCCAUUGAUUUUAAAUGACUUACUUUGAGAUUAAACUGGCCCACUAGAUAAAACUGCAGGUCUGAGGCAUUGAAAUAAUUGAGCAAGAUUUCCAUGAUCUUUAACAUGGCAAAAAAAUUGCAAAUCAAUUACAUGAUGUCAUGCAUUUAUGUACCUAACAGUUCACAACUGAUUUGCCACAAGGUUUUCAAACCAUACAGCUAGAGCAAACUUUUCUGCAGAGCUGACAGACACUUUUGAGGAAUAUGGGAACAUUAAGAGGGUACAGGGAUAUAGCAUUGUGUCAUUAUUAUCUUCUUACUGCUACUGUAAGUCAAACAAAUAUGAGAUGUCUCUAUAAGGUCAGUUUACUAAUACAGGAUUUAUACGGCCACAUGAAAAUUCCUCUUCUUUAGACAGUGACAACCAGGAUGUGUUUCCAGUAAUGAACUACCUGAAGAUUUCACCUCUAGGCUAUAGACUUCCUGUGUAUGUUUGCAGUGAUCUAAUGGUGGAACUCAAACAAUGGCCUGUUUGAGUUCAGUGAUCUUAUGAGAGUUCUCAGUUGUCAGAUGCCUGUGGCACAAUACCCAUCUCAUCAGUUAACUGCUGUUAGUUAUGUCACAAAGUAGUGCUUGGGUUAGAGUGUUACAAUUGAGUAAUAUAUGUCUAUAUGUUAGUGGUUCCCAGUAAAGUACAAGGAAGAUGCCGUUAAACUGGAAACUGUUUCGAAUGCUGAGGAAGUUAUAUACAUGCUUAUAUAAGUUAUAUAUGUAUGCACGUAUAAAUACAUAAAUAGUUCUUUAUUGAUA